rnacentral:rRNA from 1 species
GCAACGAGCGCAACCUUUCUAUUUGCCAGCGGGUUAAGCCGGGAACUUUAAGGAUACUGCCAGUGACAAACUGGAGGAAGGCGGGGACGACGUCAAGUCAUCAUGGCCCUUACGACCAGGGCUACACACGUGCUACAAUGGUCGGUACAAAGGGUUGCUACCUAGCGAUAGGAUGCUAAUCUCAAAAAGCCGAUCGUAGUCCGGAUUGGAGUCUGCAACUCGACUCCAUGAAGUCGGAAUCGCUAGUAAUCGCGGAUCAGAAUGCCGCGGUGAAUACGUUCCCGGGCCUU